rnacentral:rRNA from 1 species
GAUCAUGGCUCAGGAUGAACGCUGGCGGCGUGCUUAACACAUGCAAGUCGAACGAAGCACCUUGAUUUGAUUCUUCGGAUGAAGAUCCUGGUGACUGAGUGGCGGACGGGUGAGUAACGCGUGGGUAACCUGCCUCAUACAGGGGGAUAACAGUUAGAAAUGACUGCUAAUACCGCAUAAGACCACAGCACCGCAUGGUGCGAGGGUAAAACUCCGGUGGUAUGAGAUCGG